rnacentral:rRNA from 1 species
UACGUAGGGGGCAAGCGUUGUCCGGAAUCAUUGGGCGUAAAGAGCGUGUAGGCGGUCCGGUAAGUCAGCUGUGAAAGCCCAGGGCUCAACCCUGGAAUUGCCUUCGAUACUGGCAGGCUUGAAUACGGGAGAGGAGAGCGGAAUUCCUGGUGUAGAGGUGAAAUUCGUAGAUAUCAGGAGGAACACCGGUGGCGAAAGCGGCUCUCUGGCCCGAUAUUGACGCUCAUGUACGAAAGCGUGGGGAGCAAACAGG